AAGACACAGGGAGGUCUGGGAAGUCCUCCCUGAGGAGGUGGUAGCCUUUGAAGUGGCUCUUAGAGGCUAAGCAUCAGUUUGUCAGAGGAAUAAGGAAACCAAGAGUCUUCACAGCAGAGAGAAUGGGAUGUGCAAAGCCUGGGAAGAGGGAAGAGGUCUGGUGCGGCUGGGAAGCUGGAGGAACAGCUAGAGCACAGGUGAUGAGGGGAUGUGGUAGGUGAGAUUGGCUCAGGCCAUACGCUGAGGGCCUUGAGAAUGGGACUGUGGUUGGUGUUCUAUGGGUGACAGGGAGCCAUGGAAUGUUUGUGAGCAGAGAAGGGCUGGGCUUGGCCCAGUUUGGGAGACACAUCUUCGUGGCCAGAAUGGAGGCAGGGAGGGCUGAGCCAGCACUUACCCAGAUCCGCCUCUCAACCUUACAUGGGCUCCAUGAGCGGGUCACACACCUGACCUUGGGGCAAACCCAUCGGCUCCUGGGAGGGACGGUGGCUCCAGCUGGGGCCUGCUCAAGCCACAGAAACCCAAGAAGGGGGAGGGGGAGGAGGUGUCAGUGGCCCUCUACAUCUGGAGAAACUCAGAGCUUUUAACAGGCCCAACCAGAGCCUGCUAGCUGGGCAGGGGAAAGAGUGGUCCUCUUCCUCCUCAGCCCAUGGUGAUGGAGGGAGGCUCAGAGUGGGUGGUGACUUUGCCAAAGUUACACAGAGAAGGAUCAGUAGUGUCCCUCCAGAAUUAGCCCACCUUCACCAGUUUUAGGCUGCUGAGGCUCCCAGACUCCAGGAAGGACAGAACAACUCUGAUCCCCCCUCUCACCCACCUGUCCCUCCUUUACUGGCCUCCCAGCCUUGCCCCUGGCUGUGACCCUGGCCCUAUGUUCCCUGGAAGAGCCUCCAUCCAGAGUGGGGUAUAAAUCUGCAGGACAUGUUCUGUACGUAGGCACAGAACAGAGAGAAGCCACAGACACAGGCAUGAACACUCAGAGACAGGCAGACGCUGGUACAAAGACCAAGGCACAAACACAUUCCACUCGAGGAGGCCCUGGGACCAUAUGGAUGGACAAACUGAGGGACAGCAAACGACUUGUCUGUGUAGAUGAUGGAGCUUGGACUAGAAUCCAGGUUCCCUCUGUUCCUGACAGCGACUUACUUGCGAGUAGGUGCUUCUGCCCCUCCGCCACCUGCUUACACCUGUUGCUGCGUCGAGAGCUGGAACACCUGAGCUGGAAGGUCUGGCUUUGUCCCUACUUCUCCUGCCGCUCCCUCCCCUCUCCAAGCCCUACACUGGUCAGACAAGAGGGUCAGGAGCAAACUCCCUUUCCAGCCUCCCCUUAAUGCACCCACCUGUCUACACCUGUGGCGGAUGCUGCUGCCAAAACGGCCGCUACUUGAUGCUGCUGUUACCCAAUCUGCUGCGCCUGCGCUUUGUGUGUCCCCGAGCGCCAGGGGUAUAUCAAUACCCGGGCUGCGCCCAGGGCCGGGCUGCCCCUGGGCCCCGCCUCCUGUCCCCGCCCCACCUCCUGGGAGGGGAGGGGUAGGGAGAGAUGCGCGAUCACGAGGCACGCUGGGACUUGUAGUCUGAAGCCCUAGAGCUGGAUUGUACAAGGCGUCUCCUGGGCGGUAACCCUUGGUCGACCUGGAGCACAGCUAGUUCUCUGUCUCUGUCUCUCGAAAAUGAAUAAAUGUU